CAUCGCCCUCGCGGAGGCGGGGGCCUAUGCCACGUCCCCCGAAUCCGGUAACGUGGCAUGGGUCCCCGCCUUCGCGAGGACGAUG
rnacentral:pre_miRNA from 1 species